rnacentral:rRNA from 1 species
UACAGAGGGUGCAAGCGUUAAUCGGAGUUACUGGGCGUAAAGGGCGCGUAGGCGGUUAUUUAAGUUGGAUGUGAAAUCCCCGGGCUUAACCUGGGAACUGCAUUGGUGACUGCAUUGCUAGAGUAUGGCAGAGGGGGGUGGAAUUCCACGUGUAGCAGUGAAAUGCGUAGAGAUGUGGAGGAACACCGAUGGCGAAGGCAGCCCCCUGGGCCAAUACUGACGCUCAUGCACGAAAGCGUGGGGAGCAAACAGG